rnacentral:rRNA from 1 species
GAUGAACGCUGGCGGCGUGCCUAAUACAUGCAAGUCGAGCGAACAGACGAGGAGCUUGCUCCUUUGACGUUAGCGGCGGACGGGUGAGUAACACGUAGGUAACCUACCUAUAAGACUGGGAUAACUUCGGGAAACCGGAGCUAAUACCGGAUAAUAUUUCGAACCGCAUGGUUCGAUAGUGAAGGAUGGCUUUGCUAUCACUUAUAGAUGGACCCGCGCCGUAUUAGCUAGUUGGUAAGGUAACGGCUUACCAAGGCAACGAUACGUAGCCGACCUGAGAGGGUGAUCGGCCACACUGGAACUGAGACACGGUCCAGACUCCUACGGGAGGCAGCAGUAGGGAAUCUUCCGCAAUGGGCGAAAGCCUGACGGAGCAACGCCGCGUGAGUGAUGAAGGUCUUCGGAUCGUAAAACUCUGUUAUUAGGGAAGAACAAACGUGUAAGUAACUGUGCACGUCUUGACGGUACCUAAUCAGAAAGCCACGGCUAACUACGUG